GCGAUGGGCGGGGCCAGCGCCUCGUUCCUCGGGCUUGUGAAGUGUCAGAUCUGACUCAGUCCCAGGGUCUUGGCGCGGCUGAACGCCUCUAGGGUAGCAGAGGGCCUUUUCUUUUCAUGUCGCGCCACACCACAAGAUAGCCAGUGCCUCCCUAUGGCGGCUGCCUGUCUCUGCUACACAAGGUGACUGCGAUGCUCCUGCUCUUCCAGCUGGGAAAGAUUCACGCAGAGGACAAGUGGAGAGGAAAUGCCCCAGGCAUUUGAACCUUGUGAGCCCUUCCUAACUGGAAGAAUAUACCUGUGCAGAUACUUCGGAAUUUGGACAUCUGUUUCUGGGAAGGAAAGAAAACCUCAAAUGCACCUAUGGGAGCUUUCUGAUUAUCCUGAGGGUACAGGAGUCUAAGAACAUCUUCUCAGACCUGCCCCAGUGUCAGGCUCAGGUCCUGACCUUCCCCUCUGGUAGAACUGAAGUACACAGCAGCCUCGCUCCAGCUCCAAACACUCGAGCACUGGGCAAGCACUGGACAAGCACAGGGUUCUAGACUUCACGUUUAUCCGUCUCCUCUCCUCUUCCCACCUGCAGUGUCCUAGCUCCUGCCUGUGGACAGGGAAGUAAGUGCUUAGCUUCUGCUCCAGUACCACAUCUGUCUGCCUGCCUGCCACCACACUUCCUGCCAUGAUGAUCACGGAUUCGCCCUCUGAAACUGUAAUUAAGCCCCAAUUAAAUGCUUGC